rnacentral:rRNA from 1 species
AUGAUGGGAAGGGGUAUUAAUUUGAACAGGGGAGAUGUGGCUAGGCUCUGGCAGGAUAGCCUGGAGGGUAAAAUUCCUUCUAAAGACAGAUUCCCACUGCUCUUUGAGACUUGUAAUGAACAAAACUGUAAUGUUGACCAGUUUAAAUGCCUGGAUCAGAUCUCCUCUUUUAGGAGGAGGAUGUCUCCUGAGAUGUUGAAACAAUGGGAAAAAAUGAACAAUGAGGUGUUAAAUCUUAAACUUAGUGAUGGGCCAGAUGAGGUUUAUUGGAAAUGGGACAGUUCGGGCAAUUAUACCACUAAAUCCAUGUAUACUUGGCUGGAAAAAGAUAUAGCAGGAUCUAACUUUAAAUGAAUUUGGAAUGCAAAGCUACCUCUUAAAAUUCAAAUUUUCUUAUGGCAGAUGGCGCAGAAUGCCAUCCUAACCAGGGACAAUAUGAAAAAAAAGAUUAUGGCCGGGGGCCCCUUGCUGUUCGUUCUGUAA